CAAACACUUGCACAAUUGCUCCAGUGUCGCCACACUGUGGACUCAAGACUCGUCCAUCAAAGAAAGCAAUCUGUGCACUAAUCUCAGCGGAUCGAUCACCGUCCUCGUGAUGAUCCAUCGAUCAGAAGCAAUUCAAGAAUUAAUCACCAAUGACACAUGCCUCAAAUUCUCAACUCUUGAGAAUAUGCGUCAUCAUCUUAUUAAUUUCUUGGGCGAUUCAUGGACACAUAAGAACAUGAAUGAUAAGAAUGCCCAACUUAAUAAAUUUAUAAUUAGGUCAAGUACAAAUUUAUG
rnacentral:lncRNA from 1 species